UAGGGAAUCUUCGGCAAUGGACGAAAGUCUGACCGAGCAACGCCGCGUGAGUGAAGAAGGUUUUCGGAUCGUAAAACUCUGUUGUUAGAGAAGAACAAGGACGUUAGUAACUGAACGUCCCCUGACGGUAUCUAACCAGAAAGCGACGGCUAACUACGUGCCAGCAGCCGCGGUAAUACGUAGGUGGCAAGCGUUGUCCGGAUUUAUUGGGCGUAAAGCGAGCGCAGGCGGUUUCUUAAGUCUGAUGUGAAAGCCCCCGGCUCAACAGGGGAGGGUCAUUGGAAACUGGGAGACUUGAGUGCAGAAGAGGAGAGUGGAAUUCCAUGUGUAGCGGUGAAAUGCGUAGAUAUAUGGAGGAACACCAGUGGCGAAGGCGGCUCUCUGGUCUGUAACUGACGCUGAGGCUCGAAAGCGUGGGGAGCAAACAGG
rnacentral:rRNA from 1 species